CGUACGUCGUUCGAACUAAACGUAAACAAGACGAGCGUAGUUCGUCGUUCAGUUGUCCUCGAUAUUUCCUUUAGUUGCGUGUUAUUCUUCGUUACGUGCGCACGUGUUAUAAUUCCCUAAAACUAUUAAACAACCCUUAUACCUAUCGUGUCAGUGAAAAGAAAAUCUAAUAUCGAUGAUAGCAGUGUGAAGUGUGUUAUUAUUGCGGACAGUGAUUCGGCAGAUCCUUCUGAUAAUAAUAGUGAUGGUCUCACAGUACUUACUGAGGAUUAUUAUUUUUUAUUUGUAAACAAUUACCGACCCAAUAUACACAAUAACGACCCACAAUAACGACCCAAAAAUACAUUUGGAGUAAAGCGCCUCACAUUGGUGGUACUUCAGAGGUAUACUUGGAGUAGAGCGCCGCACAUCGGUGGUGCUUGAGAGAUACAUUUGGAGCGUUGGGGGUUAGAUUGACAGUAAAGUAUGAUUUUAUAAACAAUCUCGGUGAAGAAAUUGAAUAGCGCGUAAAUAGCGGAAAUAUUCUGUUACGAUCGAGAUUGUCGUAACAGCUGUGUUAUGAACGUGUUCGAAUGGCAAUAGGAAAAUGGACGCGUGUAUCCGUUUUCCCUUUAGGCUCGAGAUGGGAGGAUAUCUAAAUUGGAGGUUUAAGGAAUAAACUUCGAAGAAAAAUGUAGACGGCUUGCCAGAGAAUUUUUUUUGCGGCUAAUAAUAUAUCUACAUGUACGGACACUAGCGGGCUAUAUUAUGGGCUGUUUUUUCCUGUACUGAUAUGCUUUAAGAGCGUAUUUCAGAACUGAUGGUUCGUAGAAAUCUAUGUUUUUUUUAAAUAAUGUUUCCAAGAAGGGAAAAGAUUUGAAUACACUUGUAUCGUAUUGGACACAGUAGCAAAGUCGAGGUGUACUGGCUGUUUCCCUUUAGCCAUAUAACAUUCGCACCACUGUUAUCACCGUAUUACAGGUUUUACGAAAUAACAGCUCAAGACUCGCGUAAUGCACGUGAACAUCGGCCCAACGGCCGACGAACGAUUCAAGGAGAACUAGUAUUUCAUUGAUAACUCACCCCGUGUCCCGACCUUUACGACCACCACACUGUACGUACACUGUUGCACGCGCAUACCCGCCAGGCAACGUCCAAUGAUUUGUGUAUCGACAGUCGUCAGUAUUAAUGCCAUUUGUGUGCAAUUAUGUUAGUUAUUAUGUCAAACAACCUACCUUUUGCGGCUCGUUUCAACACGUUUUCAGCAUUACGGCAUUGCGACUUGAAAACGACGCCAGAUACCCGAUGAAAUAGCUCACGGCCAACAACACGAUUGCGUUGGGUUCCAGAUCGGAAUUAGAAGUUUGAUUUCCUUUUUCUAAAUCGCAACCAUUACUUCCACAUCUUAAAACAAGAAGACACGAUGUUUCCUUUUCCAUUUUGAGAAUUGAUCUUCAUAAAUUAGAGACAAAGAUGUUGUUGAAGUCCAUGGAAUUCGACUCAAUGGGGACACACCUUAACGUUACAUCGUAUCCAAUAAUCGAAUAUCACCAUCGACAGCGAUACAUUGGUAUUUAUACCAUUCACGUUUCCAUUUCAUCAUCACUUAAUUAUUGGAGUUACUUGAUCGUGCUUGCCAUACCGGUUGAAAUAGUAUUGAGAAGUAACGCUAGAUAACGCGCCUCUAUUGAUUUGUCAGUUGGGAUAAUGGAUUUCAAUGCAUAACACAGAAUCCCAUGGAACGCGAGCGUGUGGUUGCCAGCCACAGAUUAAUACGGCUAUCGCGGAACGACAGGUAUUCCAUAUGUAUCUGGUAUUUCGUAAAUGUUAAUAUAACUUGAUCGUAUCCCGAUGCGAAUGUAAAUGCGCCGGACAUGGUGCAGUCUCUUAACCCUUAAAUGCAUACUGUCUCUAUUUGGCAUAUUUAAAUGGCCUUUGUUAUAUAGGUAACGUGUAAUACUUAUUGCAUGGUGUUUUCGAAUGUAUUUAUUACUAUUUUUAUACUAUUAAUAUGUUCAUAAUGCAGAAAGAAAUUUAA